UAACCUGCCUGGUAGCGGGGGAUAACUAUUGGAAACGAUAGCUAAUACCGCAUAACAGUAGAUACUGCAUGAUAUCUGCUUGAAAGGGGCAAUUGCUCCACUACCAGAUGGACCUGCGUUGUAUUAGCUAGUUGGUGAGGUAACGGCUCACCAAGGCGACGAUACAUAGCCGACCUGAGAGGGUGAUCGGCCACACUGGGACUGAGACACGGCCCAG
rnacentral:rRNA from 1 species